UUUGAAUUUCAACUUCAGGAUCUGGCCUUCUAAAGAGCAGUCGGGGUUGAUCUCUUCUAGGACUGACCGGUUUGAACGCCUUGCAGCUGAACAUACAUUGUAGUAAAAAGGGUUAUAAAAUUGUUACUCCUCUGCUCUUGUUGUAUCUAUGAAUAGGCACCCAACAGCCUUGUUUAGAGUGACCCACUUCCUGUUAUCUGGGAUGCAAGGCAACCUGCAGGGCUACAGUGAAGAGUUUUCACAUUGUUUGGCAACUGGGUGCUUGGAUUUACUCCAUCUCUGACUAUGCCAGUCCAGAUGAGUUACUUGGGGAACAAUCCUAGGAGAUUAAUUGAAUUGAGAUCUAUUCUGUAAUUCUAUAAUUCCUAAGAUUAUGGAUAAGGUCCUUAGGUCUGUUACAUCCUAGCGCCUCCUGAAUUGUUAGGGUGGCUGGGAGGUGACCAAAUGGAUGGGUCCAUGCAGCAUUAUCAGUGUCUUCAAGGGAAGAAGGGUAUGCUCACUUCUCAAGAUAUUGCUACUUUGUCCCUAUAUUCUAAACAAAAAUUAUCCAGUUUCCAAUCUUAUCUUUUUGGGAAAAUUAUGGAGAAGGUAGUUAGAUAGCAACAACAAAGGAUCAUCUUGGAGAGUUUACAUUAAUAUAAUAAAGGCAGGCUUUAAAAAUCUACAAAAAUGGAUUAUUGGGACCCAUUUCAAUCUGCAAUGUAGAAUGUAGACAGUGUUGAUCACACCUGACAAUGUUAUUUAGUAGAGAUAGGAUGGAGAUGAUGUAUUCAUCCUUGUGUUCCUUGAUUUCUCAGCAGUUGUCAUGAUCUCGGACGCAUUUACUAAAGUUUAAAUUUGAAUUUGAGAAAGUUGCUCCUGAAGAAUCUGUGGCAUGUCAGCCUCAUGAGCCAACCCCCCUCAAGAAUCGUUUGUGGCUGAUCAAAUACUACCUGAACAGCUGGAGCAGUCAGAUGAUGAUGACAUCAGGCUUCCCAGUCCCAAACCUGAUUUUCUUUGUGAAAUUCUGACCUCUGGCCUGGCUGAUAAUGCUGAUCUGACUCUUGGAACUUUGGACUGGAUUUUGACUAUUCUUCUGCAUGUUCCUGCUAAAAGCAAAACCUUUCAGCAAGGUCCUGCAGCCACAGAGGAAGUUCCUAGAAAACACAGGAAGCUUUGUCUGAAUCUGUACUUGCUAUUUCCUCUGUCUGAACUAUGGCGCUUGAAGAUAUGUUGGAGUCUGGGUGUGCUUGUAAGCAAAAGUUGCUGUUGGAAUUUCUGGGAGUAGUAGGGAAUUGGGGAAUGCAUUUGCAAUGGGGUAAUUGUUUUUCAGCAAUUCAGAGAAUUUUAUGAAUAACCCAAAUAUAUUGCAAAAUAUUGCUCUGUCAAAGUAAGCUAGGACGCUUUAUUUUUUUGCUAAAAACUAUUGCAAAACAGACAUUAUAUUCUUUUCUGAGAUUAUCAUUUUAACCUGCCUACCUCCAGCAGUCUCAAUAAUCUGCAAACUAUCCGAAUGGAAAACAGAAAAUUUAUGAUUGACAAUGUAAUUUGAGAGUUGUAUAGGAAUCUUAAAUUAUCUGUUGGAAUUCGCUACAUAAUUAAGGCCUAACAGGGAGCAGCAAGGAGCCAAGAUGCUCUGUAUUACACCAAUAAACAAUGUCAAGUGUCUUCCCUGACAUGCAUACAAAUGGAACUUGUCCCUUUGCUAACAUGUACUGAUGUUAUUUCUCUUCUCCAGCAAGCUGUUUAAAAUGCCUUGGAGAUAAAGUGAAUUGUGAGUGAAGUUGCCAGCAUUCUCCUCCUUUUCUCCACCCCUAAAUAUAACUAGGUCAUUCUUGCUGACAUAUAAAACCUAUACAUGAGUGAAAGUUUGAGCAGAAGAAAUGGAAAUAACCUGUCUAAGAUUUGAGGAUCAAAUAUAUACACUACAGUGAAAAUGGAGGAUAAUUAUGAUGGAAGAGGCUUUCUGCCAAGGGCUUUGGCAGAUGAAAGAUCCAGUUUUCUAUCUUUGUCUCUGAGGAAAAUAAAAGUACAUAACCCAUAUUUGCUCUAGGUACAAACUGCUUCAAUGUGCAUUGCACACUAAAAGAGCUGAGAACAUUAACAUAGAUCACUUCAGCUCAAUCCUUCAUAAGAUGAUGAGUGAAAAUGAUGCAACUCAGCAAAUGUUCCAUUUAAAGUUUAGGGUACUAAGUUUAUUUGUUUUGGGAUGAGAUGUCACUAAAAGAUCAGAAUUAAUAGCACUAUAGUUCUCUAUAGUUAUUAGCAUAGCCUCUAUAGUUAUGAUACUAUCCAUAGUUAUAUAGCCCUCUUCCUAUAGUAUCUAAAGCCUUUCAACUAGCUUUAUUCCCAGACUGAAUUAGAAGUUGGCCCCAUAAAUUUUAAUGAGAUACAUUUUUUGCUCUGGAUGAUGUUAUUUAGACAUGAACUGUUGUAUUUAUUUGUCAGAUAUAUAUUUUGCCUUUUUUUUGCAAACAAGUGAUGCUCAGAAUAGAUAAUGGUAAAAAUUAAAAUAUCCAGAAAACAUAGCUAAGACCAGAAUAAAAACAACCAGCAGCACUACUCUCUAAAGCCCAGCAACAAACUCCUAUUUUGAAUAUAUCACUUUUUACCAGUUAGAAAGGAAAUUUGUGUUCUUGCAACAAAAAUGGGAUGUGUUGAAGGAAAAGUCUUCAUUGUGGUUCAGUCCAAGCCGGGAAUAAACAACAUGGUGACUGUUUAGAAAGAAGGUUGCAGCUUCUUGAAGAGGAGAGCCAGACAGGAAGAUGGCUUUGGAAGAAAAGAGAGCGAGCACGUGUAGAGAAUGGGUUUUCAUACCUUCUUGAGGUUUUUGUUUGGAGUGUUCUUGUGGCAUGAACUUUGACCUGAGUCUGAGUGUGCCCUUUGGCAUCUGUGGGUUAAUCCUAUUAUGUUUUGUCUUAAGAGUUUGGGUGGGGUAUGUAG